AAAACCCAAAACAACAUCAGGAACCUUACACAAGAGAGAGAGAAGAAGAAGAAAAGGAGGAGAGGCUAUGCAAAAAGACAAUUAGAAAUUCAGACAAAAUAUUGAAAGGAUAAAGACAGCAUCUUGAAGAAAUCAGGAGACAAAAUAAAUGUUACUGAUGAUGUCUCAGAAGAUGCACAAUCCCCGUGAGUGCUACCCAUGGGAAACUGCCAGUCUAUAAUCCUGCAUCCAGAAAACAUACCAUUUAAAAUGUACAAUGAAAGACCAAAAGAAGAUUAGGGAUCUCCUGGAGUUGAAGUAAUAGGCAGUUGUGAGUCAUCCAGCAUUGGUCCUGGGAACCAAAGACAGGAGUUUACCAUGGCUCUACACAGAAGCUGACUGAUACAAAUGCAGAGACCCACGGGCCAACAUUGGAUGGAGCACAGGGAGUCUUCUAGAAGAGCUAUGGAAAGGAUAGGAAUUCCACAGAAAGACCAACAGAGUCAGUUAACAUGGACUCUUGGGGGCUCCCAGAGACUUAACUGCCAACCAAAAAGCAAGCACAAGCCGCACCUAGCCCCCUACCCCUACACAUAUGUAGUAGAUGUGCAGCUUGGUUUUCAGGUGCGUCCCACAACAACUAGAAUGGGGCUGUCCCUGAAUCUGUUGCCUGCUUGUGGAUCCAUUCCCCUAACAGCUGCAUUGUCUGGCUUUAGGUGAGAGAGAAUGUGCCGUGUCCAGCAAUACCUGGAUGUGCUAGGGUGGCUUAGUACCCAUAACUUCCUGCCUUCUCCCAUACC